GUUUUCCUAAAUGUAGCACCUUAAUUGAAGUGGCCUUCUCUCUCUGACACCCAAAUGACUUCAACCAUAUGGACAAUGGUCCACCCUUCAACUCCUACCACCAAAUCAGCCUAAGGAGCUCAGCUUAGACUGGGUUUCACCAUCCAGGGGGCAGGCCUUUCUCAUCCCAAGCUGGAGUCUCCAAAGGGGGCCAUACCUCCAGACAGCAACCAGGGUCCACCUGGCUGUUCCCUCACUAUGGAAAACUCUCGUCCCAGAUCUGAUCAUGUAACUUCCUUUCCCGCACUCAGCUUUACCUCCUCAGAGACCUUCAUGGGCCAUCCCCACCAUAGUGGCCCAAGGCCCUAGACAUUUUUUUAUCAUUUUUCCCUGUUGAGUUUUUCCAAAACACAAUGCUGUAUGAAAUUCUCCUGUUCAAAUGACGGCUCUCUGGGUUGCUCCUCUCCACUGUGGCAGGAUGUCAAUACCCUGAGAGAAGAACAUGCUGCCUCAGGCCCUAUUCUCUGCAGCACCCAGAAGAGAGUCUUGCUUGUAACAGGCACACAAUUCCAUAUAUAAUCACAUUUAAGAUGACCCCAAUUGUAAGAUGCAUCAUUA